GCGUUUUCCUGUCUGUGCUGUUGGGGGCUCGGGCCUGCUGCCUUUACUCACCGAGAGACCAGGAAAUACUGCUUCACUUCUCCAAGGGUCAACUCUGACCACUGAGGUGAGAGGAUCUCUCCUUCUGCCAGGCAUCGUGGCGAUAAAGCCCUACUCUUAUCCUCCAAAGGCUCAUCAGAUAUGAACUGGCUGAGGGAGAAUCCUAUCCUCCCAGGGCCUAUGAUGGAAGGAAAUAUCAGUAGUUCAGAAUACAUAUAGUUGCUGUUAACAUUUGAGACUGUGGGGAUUUGGAGCGCUUUGUGUACUGUAUGCAAAGGAAAUACUUUCUAGCUAAACACUGUGUUCUCAACAUCUGCUUCUCAGAGUUCAGUGAUAUCAUAUUAGCACGAUCAAAGAUGGUUGUGAAGCGCUUUAUUGAAGGAGCAGUUUGCGGUUAAGUGAUGCCUACAGUGAGCUACUUUUCAUUAGUACCAACCCUAACACCCGGGGGA